rnacentral:rRNA from 1 species
UGCCUGCCCAGUGACGAAAGUUAAACGGCCGCGGUAUUUUGACCGUGCAAAGGUAGCAUAAUCAUUUGCCUUUUAAAUGGACGGUAGUAUGAAUGGCAAGACGGAGGUUCAGCUGUCUCUCUUUUAGGACUUGAAUUUAUUAUCCUCGUGAAGAAACGAGGAUAAAGUCGUAGGACGAGAAGACCCUAUCGAGCUUCAGUUACAAGUUAAGGUUAGAACGUUUUUUUUAUUGUUGGGCUAAUAAAGCCGAAAAUUAAUUUUACCUAGUAAUAAAAAUAAAUUGUUAAUAAGGCGCUUUGGUUGGGGCAACCACGGAGAAAAUUUACCCUCCGCUUAUGAGAUAGAAAAACUACUGUUUUAUAAAAUCUAAAUUAUUAAGAAGUGAUCCACUGUAGAAGUGAUCAAAGGAAUAAGUUACCGUAGGGAUAACAGCGUAAUUUUUUUGGAGAGUUCAUAUUGAUAAAAAAGUUUGCGACCUCGAUGUUGGAUCGGGACUUCCAGGAGAUGCAGCAGUUUCC